GAAUCAGGUGAUGAGGAAACAAAACUGCAACAAUAUGAUUGGAAAAUAUCCAUGAUUCAUUUUUAUAUAUUUAAGUCUCUGAUGGUU